rnacentral:rRNA from 1 species
UACGUAGGGUCCAAGCGUUGUCCGGAUUUAUUGGGCGUAAAGAGCUCGUAGGCGGCUUAGUAAGUCGGAUGUGAAAACUCGGGGCUCAACCCCGAGACGCCAUCCGAUACUGCUGUGGCUUGAGUCUGGUAGGGGAACACGGAAUUCCUGGUGUAGCGGUGAAAUGCGCAGAUAUCAGGAAGAACACCCGUGGCGAAGGCGGCUCUCUGGGACGUGACUGACGCUGAGACGCGAAAGCGUGGGGAGCAAACAGG